rnacentral:rRNA from 1 species
AGCAUUUGGUGGAUGCCUUGGCAUUAGAAGGCGAUGAAGGACGUAAUACGCUGCGAUAAGCUUCGGGGAGCUGCGAAUAAGCUUUGAUCCGAAGAUUUCCGAAUGGGGAAACCCACCUAAUUUAUUAGGUAUUGUAUAGUGAAUACAUAGCUAUAUGAGGCAAACCCAGCGAACUGAAAUAUCUAAGUAGCUGGAGGAAAGGACAUCAACCGAGACUCCGUUAGUAGUGACGAGCGAACGCGGACCAGGCCAGUGGCUUCAAAAAAAUAACUAAAACAACAUGGAAAGGUUGACCGUAGAGGGUGAUAGCCCCGUAUAGGUAAAAAGUUUGAAGUCCUUGAGUAAGGCGGGACACGUGAAAUCCUGUCUGAACAUAGGGGGACCACCCUCUAAGCCUAAGUACUCUCUAGUGACCGAUAGUGAACAAGUACCGUGAGGGAAAGGUGAAAAGUACCCCGACAAGGGGAGUGAAAUAGUAUCUGAAACCAAAUGCUUACAAGCAGUCGGAGCAAGCAUUUAUGUCUUGUGACGGCGUACCUUUUGUAUAAUGGGUCAGCGACUUAGUUUAUCUAGCAAGCUUAAGCCGUUAGGUGUAGGCGUAGCGAAAGCGAGUCUGAAUAGGGCGACUAUAGUUAGAUGAAUUAGACCCGAAACCGAGUGAUCUAGCCAUGGCCAGGUUGAAAGCGGAGUAAAAUCCGCUGAAGGACCGAACCCACUACUGUUGAAAAAGUAGGGGAUGAGCUGUGGUUAGGGGUGAAAGGCCAAUCAAACUCGGAUAUAGCUGGUUCUCCGCGAAAUCUAUUUAGGUAGAGCGUUAUAGCGGUUACCAUCGGAGGUAGAGCACUGAAUGAGCUAGGGGGUCCCACAGACUUACCAAACUCAAUCAAACUCCGAAUGCCGAUGAGUAUAGCAUAGCAGACAGACUAUGGGUGCUAAGGUCCAUAGUCGAGAGGGAAAAAGCCCAGACCGCCAUCUAAGGUCCCUAAAUCAUGACUAAGUGUUAAAGGAUGUGAGAAGACCAAAACAACUAGGAUGUUGGCUUAGAAGCAGCCAUCAUUUAAAGAAAGCGUAAUAGCUCACUAGUCUAAAUAAGUUUUCUUGCGCCAACAAUGUAACGGGGCUCAAGUCAUGUACCGAAGAUGCGGAUUCACACAUUUGGUGUGAGUGGUAGCGGAGCGUUCCGUAAGCCUGUGAAGGUGAACCGUAAGGUUUGCUGG